rnacentral:lncRNA from 1 species
AUUUAAAGUAGAAACAAACAACGACAACUUGAGUGCUACUGAUUUAGUUUAUUGAAAAGUUAACUUCAUUUUAGGUCUUUUGGUUAAAAAAAACAUGUUAUGGAGCAAAAGAUAUAUUUCUGUACUAAACGGAGGAUGAUGGCUAUUUUUAUUGCGGAUUUUUUAUUUGUUUUGCAGUAAUUGAUUAUAUAACAAGAACUUGUUUACUUUAAUGUUUUGCUGAAUCACAGAAACGGGGGAUACUUUAAGUGUUAGUAUUACAAUCAAAGUAUAAUUUGUAUAUUCGACCUUCGUGUAUCAAUGGAUUGGUAUGAUUUUUUUUUCAUUUUUGGAAAACAUUUUUAUUGACCAUUACAUGACUGAAAAGAAGAAAAACUAGGUCUUAAGAUGAUAUCGAAAUAAAUUCUUAACAAAUUUCGUCACGAUGAGCUUUGGUACCGAUUUAUAUGUCAUUUCAUAUAUUUAGUUGUUAAAAUGUUGAUGACAUUUGAAAUCUGCAAUUUUAGAAAUUUAAGAAUAUUCUAUUUAAAAAAAAAGCUUCUUUCACGAUGCUAGAAUAAGAAACUAAUUACACUAGUAAAACAAAUAUAGAAAUAACAUGCGACAAGUUAAAUAUCUUAGAGACCAGAUCUUAAAGCACAGAAAUCUAAACAUGGAGCGAUAUGAAACCCAUUACAAGGCUGUUUACAGAGUUAAUCUGGCUAAAUAUAGAAGCGUUAUAGUUUUGAUUAUGUCGUAAAUACAUCAUAAUGACGAAAUAUUUUUAUUUUUGAUUUGUAGUGAUCCAAUUUGUGUAUUGCUAUACAAAGCAUUAACUGUAUACCUGCUACUGUUUUUUGUAAUUAGACGAUGGUUAAGAUUAUAUUUGGAAUAGAAUUCUUCAAAAGGUACACAGAUGUUUAUUGUUUCUUUUGAAAUCUUGUUUCAAAUGAACCAGCAUACCCUUUUGGUAUAAUGACUUUGGUGUAAUGUAAGAUCUAUUCAAUUUUAGACAAACUCAAUUAAGUGACAACCGUGAGCUAUUGGUAGAAUAAGUUGUACUAUAAAGCGCAUGUUUUGGACCUUCUACAUCAGUUCUAACUUACUUACAUAUUAGUGCUUGCAAUACUGUUUGCUGAUUCUCCAACCUUUUCU